rnacentral:tRNA from 1 species
UCAGGAUAGCUCAGUCCGGUAGAGCAGAGGACUGAAAAUUCUCGUGUCGCCAGUUCAAGUUUGGUUCCUG